CCUACGGGAGGCAGCAGUUUCGAAUCAUUCACAAUGGGCGAAAGCCUGAUGGUGCGACGCCGCGUGAGGGAUGAAGGCCUUCGGGUUGUAAACCUCUGUCACCGGGGAAGAAACGCUGCAUUUUAACAGAAUGCAGCCUGACUUAACCCGGAGAGGAAGCAGUGGCUAACUCUGUGCCAGCAGCCGCGGUAAUACAGAGACUGCAAGCGUUAUUCGGAUUCACUGGGCGUAAAGGGUGCGCAGGCGGCCGUGUGUGUGAGGCGUGAAAGCCCGAUGCUUAACAUCGGAAUUGCACCUCAAACUACAUGGCUAGAGCAUUGGAGAGGGUAGCAGAAUUCAUGGUGUAGCAGUGAAAUGCGUAGAUAUCAUGAGGAAUACCAGAGGCGAAGGCGGCUACCUGGACAAUUGCUGACGCUCAGGCACGAAAGCGUGGGGAGCAAAAGGGAUUAGAUACCCCUGUAGUCCACGCCCUAAACGGUGCACACUAGGUCUUGGCGGAUUCGACCCCGCCAGGGCCCAAGCUAACGCGUUAAGUGUGCCGCCUGAGGACUACGGCCGCAAGGCUAAAACUCAAAGGAAUUGACGGGGGCCCGCACAAGCGGUGGAGUAUGUGGCUCAAUUCGAUGCAACGCGAAGAACCUUACCUGGCCUUGACAUGCACUAGACAGACGCUGAAAGGCGUUCUCCCUUCGGGGCUGGUGCACAGGUGCUGCAUGGCUGUCGUCAGCUCGUGUCGUGAGAUGUUGCGUUAAGUCGCGCAACGAGCGCAACCCCUGUCCUUAGUUGCCAUCAUUAAGUUGGGCACUCUAGGGAGACAAACCCUCUUUGAGGGUGGGAGGGUGGGGGAUGACGUCAAGUCAGGAUGGCCCUUACGGCCAGGGCUGCACACGUACUACAUGCCCGGUACAGAGGGACGCAUACCGCGGAGGUGGAGCAAAUCCCAAAAAGCCGGUCUCAGUUCGGAUCGGGGUCUUGCAACUCGACCUCGUGAGUCGGAGUCGCUAGUAAUCGCGAUCACCACGCCGCG
rnacentral:rRNA from 1 species